rnacentral:tRNA from 1 species
GCCAGGGUAGUAUAGUCCGGUCAAGUAUUCGGCCCUCUCGCGGCUGAGACCCGGGUUCAAAUCCCGGCCUUGGCA